CCUACGGGAGGCAGCAGUGAGGAAUAUUGGUCAAUGGACGCGAGCCUGAACCAGCCAAGUAGCGUGAAGGAUGACUGCCCUACGGGUUGUAAACUUCUUUUAUAAGGGAAUAAAGUGAUGCACGUGUGCCUUUUUGUAUGUACUUUAUGAAUAAGGAUCGGCUAACUCCGUGCCAGCAGCCGCGGUAAUACGGAGGAUCCGAGCGUUAUCCGGAUUUAUUGGGUUUAAAGGGAGCGUAGAUGGAUUGUUAAGUCAGUUGUGAAAGUUUGCGGCUCAACCGUAAAAUUGCAGUUGAUACUGGCAGCCUUGAGUACAGUAGAGGUAGGCGGAAUUCGUGGUGUAGCGGUGAAAUGCUUAGAUAUCACGAAGAACUCCGAUUGCGAAGGCAGCUUACUGGACUGCAACUGACACUGAUGUUCGAAAGUGUGGGUAUCAAACAGGAUUAGAUACCCCAGUAGUC
rnacentral:rRNA from 1 species